AAAAAAGAAUAAACACCUCAUAUAAUUUGGGAAUAUGGCUCAAAAGUUUCUACCCGUUACCGUAAAUGAUGGACUAUGAGGGAAGAUGAUUGA
rnacentral:ncRNA from 1 species